GAGUUUGAUCCUGGCUCAGAUUGAACGCUGGCGGCAUGCCUUACACAUGCAAGUCGAACGGCAGCACGGGGGCAACCCUGGUGGCGAGUGGCGAACGGGUGAGUAAUACAUCGGAACGUGUCCUGUAGUGGGGGAUAGCCCGGCGAAAGCCGGAUUAAUACCGCAUACGAUCUACGGAAGAAAGCGGGGGACCGAAAGGCCUCGCGCUAUAGGGGCGGCCGAUGGCAGAUUAGCUAGUUGGUGGGGUAAAGGCCUACCAAGGCGACGAUCUGUAGCUGGUCUGAGAGGACGACCAGCCACACUGGGACUGAGACACGGCCCAGACUCCUACGGGAGGCAGCAGUGGGGAAUUUUGGACAAUGGGGGCAACCCUGAUCCAGCAAUGCCGCGUGUGCGAAGAAGGCCUUCGGGUUGUAAAGCACUUUUGUCCGGAAAGAAAACUUCUGGGUUAAUACCCUGGGAGGCUGACGGUACCGGAAGAAUAAGCACCGGCUAACUACGUGCCAGCAGCCGCGGUAAUACGUAGGGUGCGAGCGUUAAUCGGAAUUACUGGGCGUAAAGCGUGCGCAGGCGGUUUGUUAAGACAGAUGUGAAAUCCCCGGGCUUAACCUGGGAACUGCAUUUGUGACUGGCAAGCUAGAGUAUGGCAGAGGGGGGUAGAAUUCCACGUGUAGCAGUGAAAUGCGUAGAGAUGUGGAGGAAUACCGAUGGCGAAGGCAGCCCCCUGGGCCAAUACUGACGCUCAUGCACGAAAGCGUGGGGAGCAAACAGGAUUAGAUACCCUGGUAGUCCACGCCCUAAACGAUGUCAACUAGUUGUUGGGGAUUCAUUUCCUUAGUAACGUAGCUAACGCGUGAAGUUGACCGCCUGGGGAGUACGGUCGCAAGAUUAAAACUCAAAGGAAUUGACGGGGACCCGCACAAGCGGUGGAUGAUGUGGAUUAAUUCGAUGCAACGCGAAAAACCUUACCUACCCUUGACAUGGACGGAACCCUGCUGAAAGGUGGGGGUGCUCGAAAGAGAACCGUCGCACAGGUGCUGCAUGGCUGUCGUCAGCUCGUGUCGUGAGAUGUUGGGUUAAGUCCCGCAACGAGCGCAACCCUUGUCCUUAGUUGCUACGCAAGAGCACUCUAAGGAGACUGCCGGUGACAAACCGGAGGAAGGUGGGGAUGACGUCAAGUCCUCAUGGCCCUUAUGGGUAGGGCUACACACGUGCUACAUUGGCGCAUACAAAGGGCAGCAAUACCGUGAGGUGGAGCAAAUCCCAUAAAGUGCGCCUCGGUUCAGAUUGUCGUCUGCAACUCGACGGCAUGAAGCUGGAAUCGCUAGUAAUGGCGCAUCAGCUACGGCGCCGUGAAUACGUUCCCAGGCCUUGCACACAC
rnacentral:rRNA from 1 species